rnacentral:tRNA from 1 species
UCCCUGGUGGCUCAGUUGGUAAAGAAUCUGCCUGCAAUGCAGGAGACCCAGGUACCAUCCCUGGGUCGGGAA